ACUUUGUAUUUUUGCAAACGACAUGAAAGCAACUUUUCACGAUGCGUUGAGUAUUUAAAGGUUGGUGUUACAGGAGGUUCUCGGAAAAAGAAAAUCCAUAUCAUCAUCCCCUGUACAGUAAAGGACGACCUAUAUAGGCCAAGUCAAAAUGUCCCUCCAGACAAAACAAGUCAGAGUCCUGGUCCUCAACGAUAUGGAACAGCUGGGAAGGACACUCUUCCGCCUGGACCAAGGCUUUGAGCUCCAGUUCCGUCUGGGCCCUACUCUCCAGGGAAAACAUGUGCAUGUGCACACUAACUACCCUGCUCCGGGCAAACACUUUGACCGUCACACCUUCCAGGCCCUGGCCUGGCACAACCCCAUGGGAAGAGAGGACGACUCUGACAAGUUUUGCACCCUAGACCUACAGAUCGCUGGAUCAUACCAAUACUACUUUGGUCACGGCCAUGAGGAGAAGUCAGGUGGUGGCUACAUAGUGGUGGACCCAGUGCUGCGUGCCGGGGCUGACAACCACCACGUCCAUCUGGACUGUAUCACCAUCCAGACCUACCUGUCCAAAUGCCUGGGACACCUGGAUGACUGGCCAGCCAGACUGAGGGUGGCCAAGGAGUCUGGCUACAACAUGAUCCACUUCACCCCACUCCAGACUCUAGGGAUAUCCAGGUCCUGCUACUCUCUAGCUGACCAACUAAGCCUGAACCCAGAGUUUUCACCACCGGGAAAGAACUACACCUGGACAGAAGUGGGAGAGUUGGUGCAGAAACUGAAGAAAGAGUGGAAUAUGAUCUGUAUCACUGACGUGGUCUACAAUCACACAGCCGCCAACAGCCCGUGGAUCAAGGAGCAUCCUGAGUGUGGUUACAACCUGGUCAACUCCCCCCACCUGAGGUCAGCCUGGGUGCUGGACCGGGCCAUAUGGCACAUGACCUGCAACAUGGCUGACGCUAAGUACGCUGCUAUGGGCCUCCCCGCCCAGGUCCAAAACGAGGGGCACCUCAAUGCGAUCCGCAGUGUUUUGUGGGAGCAUGUGUUCCCCAAGGUCAAGCUGUGGGAAUUCUUCCAGGUCAAAAUCGAGAGCACUGUGGAGGAGUUCAGGACCCUGCUCACAGAAGGAGCGAAACCAGACCAGAAGAAGACUGAGGGUAAACAGGGACUUAAGAUCAUCCAGGACCCCAAGUUCAGGCGGUUUGGAAAUAAAGUGGACAUGGACUCUGCUCUGGAGACCUUUGUGCCUCACAGCCGCAGUCCUCAAGCCAUUCUGGAGGCCUGUAACUGGCUGUGGGGGAGAUUGGAGGAGAUCAAUAAAGAGCAGUACCAGCAGAUGUUACAGCACCAGGAGCAGGCUGCUAACUGCAUCGUGGGAAAUGUAGUUUAUGAGCGCCUGGCUGACCACGGGCCCAAGCUGGGCCCCGUCACCAGGAAAGACCCUAUUGUUACCAGAUACUUCACCUUCCCAUUCGAGGAGAAAAGCCUGGAGGAAGACCUGCUAAUGAUGGACCAGCCAGACAAGGCCCGUCACUUCCUGGCUCACAACGGCUGGGUGAUGGGAGAUGAUCCUCUUAGGAACUUUGCUGAGCCAGGCUCCAACGUGUACAUUAGGAGAGAGUUGAUCUGCUGGGGCGACAGUGUCAAACUUCGCUACGGCAACAAGCCCGAGGACUGUCCCUACCUGUGGGCCCACAUGCAGAAGUACACAGAGAUCACGGCCAAGCACUUCGCUGGGGUCCGCCUGGACAACUGUCACUCCACCCCUCUGCAUGUCGCUGAGUACAUGUUGGACGUGGCUCGUGUGUUGAGGCCCAGUCUGUACGUGGUGGCUGAGCUGUUCACAGGCAACGAGGACCUGGACAAUGUCUUUGUGACUAAGCUAGGCAUUACCUCGCUCAUCAGAGAGGCAAUGAGUGCAGGGGACAGUCAUGAGGAGGGCAGGCUUGUGUACCGGUACGGAGGGGAGCCCGUCGGAGCCUUCGUCCAGCCCAGCCUCCGCCCCCUGGUGCCCAGCAUCGCCCACGCCAUGUUCCUGGACGUCACCCAUGACAACGAGUGCCCCAUCCAGCUCCGCUCUGCGUAUGACUCGCUCCCCAGUUCUGCCAUCGUCUCAAUGGCCUGCUGUUGCUCUGGCAGCACCAGGGGAUAUGAUGAGAUGGUGCCUCACCAGAUCUCAGUGGUCAAGGAGGAGCGUUUCUACCCCAAGUGGAACCCUGAAGCCAAGGCCUCGUCACCCGGGGAGGUCAACUUGAAGACGGGUAUCAUCGCUGGCAAGCUGGCCCUCAACAAAAUGCACCAAGAACUGGCUUCCAAGGGCUUCAACCAGGUGUACGUUGACCAGGUGGACGAGGACAUUGUAGCGGUGACACGUCACUGUCCCAGCACCCACCAGUCUGUGGUGGCUGUGUGUCGCACUGCCUUCCAUAACCCCAAACACCACCAGUACAGGAAGGAGGUUCCACCCAUGUUUAUCCCUGGUAAAAUUGAGGAGGUCAUUCUGGAGGCGCGUAUCAUUGACCGGCAAGCCGGCACCUACAAGAAGUGCGAGAAGUACAUCAACGGCAUGCCGGAGUACACCGUGGAGAUUAAGGAGCACAUCCAGCUGAAAGAUAGUGGUGUUGUAAAACACGCAGGUGUGACGUCUAAGGGCAGCAGUGAGUUUGUCCAGGAGAUCAUCUUCGAGCGCCUCACCCCUGGCAGCGUCAUCGCUUUCAGGGUGAGUCUGGACCCUAAGGCUCAGGGGCUGGUGGGAGUCAUCAGACAUCACCUGAUCCAAUUCAGCCCCAAGUACAAGCCUGGCAGUCUGCCUGACCAGCACACACCAACCAUACUGGAGACACCACUGGCACAGAUCAUGUCUAAGCUGACUCUGGGCGACAUGAACAUGCUGCUGUUCCGCUGUGACUCUGAGGAACAGGAGGACGGAGGAGGCUGCUACAACAUCCCUUCCUGGACCAGCUUCAAGUACGGUGGCCUGCAAGGUCUUCUGUCAGUGAUGGCGGACAUUCGUCCCAAGAACGACCUGGGUCACCCGGUGUGUGACAACCUGAGACAGGGGGACUGGAUGAUCGACUACGUCAGUAACAGGCUGGUGUGCCACAGUGGCGCUCUAGGAGAGGUGGGGAAGUGGCUCAAGGCGAUGUUCCAUUAUCUGAAGCACAUCCCUCGCUAUCUCAUCCCCUGCUACUUUGAUGCCAUUUUAGUGGGAGUCUACACCACGGCUCUUGACACCACCUUCAACAAGAUGUCCAGUUUCGUCCAGAACGGCUCGACCUUUGUCAAACUGCUAGCUCUGGGCUCGGUCCAGAUGGGUGGUGUGGGAAGUUUCCCGGCUCUGCCCCCCUUGUCCCUGGAACUACCCGACGUCCCCUACCGCCUCAACAAGGACACCGGCAAGAAGGAGCAGUGCUGCAUCUCCCUGGCCGCAGGUCUGCCUCACUUCUCCUCUGGAAUCUUCCGCUGCUGGGGCCGGGACACCUUCAUUGCUCUGCGUGGACUCAUGCUGGUCACUGGUCGUCACCUGGAGGCUAGAAACAUCAUCCUGGCAUUUGCAGGCACCCUGAGACACGGUCUUAUCCCCAACCUGUUGGGCGAGGGCAUCUGUGCCCGCUUCAACUGCCGUGAUGCUGUGUGGUGGUGGCUGCAGUGCAUCCAGGACUACUGUACCUUGGUGCCCGAGGGCAUUGCCAUCCUCCGCUGCCCUGUGGUCAGGAUGUACCCCCGUGACGACUCUGAGCCCCAGGUCUCUGGCACUCCGGUAGGUCAUAUCUAUACAUAUACAUUAUGCAUACACACACAUGCCUCUCUCUCUCACACACACACACCCAUGUGUACACAUCAGACACGAACACACAUGCAUAAACACAUACAUACACUCUCCAUCUAUCUCUCUUUGUCACACACACACACACUCCAUCUCUCUCUCUCUUUCCCACCCACACACUCUCACAUGCACAAAUAGAGACACACAUAUCCAUAAACACAUACAGGUCCACACAAACAUACAGUGCCUUCAGAAAGUAGUCUUACCCCUAGACUUAUUCCACAUUUUGUUGUUACUGCCUGAAAAAAAUGUUUUUCGCUCAGCCAUCUGCACAUAAUACCCCAUAAUGACAAAGUGAAAACAUGAUUUUAGAAAUUGUAGCUAAUUUAUUGAAAAUGAAAUACAGAAAUAUCUCAUUUACAUAAGUAUUCACACCCCUGAGUCAAUAGAUUCUUUGGGGGUAGACUAGCUUUAAGUAUUGCAAAUAGAUUGUAAUUAUCUGCAUCAUUUUCAAUCCCCCAUAUAUUUUUUGUUAAAUAUUCUAUUUGGUAUAUACAGUAUUUUUCAAUUGUGCUGUGAUGUUUCACGAAGGUCCUGAACCUUUCUAUUCUCAUAGAUUCUACAGAUUGUAAAUUAAAGAUCAAAUGUUUUGCUAAGAGAAUUAUUAUAUUAUUGAUCAAUUGACUAGGAGUUUUCAUAUCACACAGCAGUGCUAUUUGCAGAAUUGCCUCCAAAUAAAUGUUGUAAUUCUUCAGCCAUUCCUGAACCUGUGACUGAAAACAAGCAUCCUAUGGGCAGUACCAAAACAAGUGAUCUAAUGAUUCUGUCUCUUUGCACCAAAAUCGAAUGAAAAAACUCAAAAAAAAUUGUGUAUCAGUUCAUUAACCAUGUGCCAUGGAAUCGGUACAUCGAAAAUCUCUUUCCAACUGUUUUGCCAUCUGUAUGGCACAGCUGUCAUUUUUUGGGUCCUUAAAUUAAACUUGUAUAAUUCUUUAUUUAUCACAAUUUUCUUUAACCAGUUUUGUUUUUUAAUCUAGGGCCGACAGACAAGUUCCUUACCUCCUCCCCUUUCCGCUUGCCUCUUCCAUUUUUGCGGAAAUGCUGCAAUUUAUAUACUGAACAAAAAUAUAAACGCAACAUGGUCCGAUGUUUCAGGAGCGGAAAUAAAAGAUCCCUAAAAUGUUCAAUAUGCACAAGGGGCUUUUCGCUCAAAUUUUGAGCGACAUCCCUGUCAGUGAACAAGUAAAUGUAUUUAUUUCGGGAUAUGAAUACCUAUUAUGCCCACUUCACCGUCAGACCAUUUUAUUGGUAAACUACAUGGUAAUGUCAAAUGUAAAAAAUAAUAAUAAUAAUUGUGAUCCAAUACGUAAUAUAGUACACUUAAUGAGGUUGUAAUCCAGAGGUUAGGGAAAUUAUUUAGAUCCUCUGAGGCUGUGGACUGAUCCAAAUUGUGAAUUUAAAAGAACAUAACAUGACUCAUCAGUGUACAAUGACACAUUUGUAUAAGCACCUUUGGCAGCGAUUAAGUUUCUAAGUGCUUUCCGGCCUCCCGAGUGUCGCCGUGGUCUAAGGCACUGCAUCGCAGUGCUAGCUGUGCCACUAGAGAUUCUGGGUUCGAGUCCAGGCUCUGUCGCAGCCGGCGACCGUGUGCCACGACCGGGAGACCCAUGGGGUGGCACACAAUUGGCCCAGCGUCGUCCAGGAUAGGGCAGGGUUUGGUCGGCAGGGAUGUCCUUGUCCCAUCGCGCACUAGCGACUCCUGUGGCGGGCCAGGCGCAGUGCACUCUGACACUGUGGCCAGGUGCACUGUGUUUCCUCUGACACAUUGGUGCGGCUGGCUUCCUGGUUAAGUGGGCAUUGUGUCAAGAAGCGGUGCGGCUUGGUUGGGUUGUGUUUCGGAGGAUGCACGGCUCUCGACCUUCGCCUCUCCCGAGUCUGUACGGGAGUUGCAUCGAUGAGACGACUGUAACUUCCAAUUGGAUUCCAUGGAAUUGUGAGGGAAAAUUUUCAGGUCUUGCCAUAGGUUUUCAUGUAGAUUUAAGUCAAAACUGUAACUCAGACAUUCAGGGAUAGUCAGUCUUCUAUGUAAGCAUCUCUAGUGUAGAUUUAGCGUUGUGUUUUAUGUUAUUGUCCUGCUGAAAGGUGAAUUAAUCUCCCAGUGUCUGUGGGAAAGCCAGGUUUCCUUGGUGAACAAGGUAUUCCUCUAGGAUUUUGCCUGUGCUUAGCUCCAUUCCGUUUCUUUCUUAUCCUACAAAACCUCCCUUGUCCUUAACGAUUACAAACAUACAUAUAACAUGAUGCAUCCACCACUAUGCUUAAAAAUAUGUAGAGUGGUAUUCAGUUAUGUGUUGUGUUGGAUAUGCCGCAGAUAUAACACGUUGUAUUCAGGACAAAAAGUGAAUUGCCGCAUUUUUGCAGUAUUACUUGCAUUGUGGCAAAUAGGAAUGUUUUGGAAUAUGUUUAUUCUGUUCAAUAAAAAUAAACAAUGAAUUAAUAACUUCACCAUGCUCAACGGGACUUCACCAUGCUCAACGGGACUUCACCAUGCUCAACGGGACUUCACCAUGCUCAACGGGACUUCACCAUGCUCAACGGGACUUCACCAUGCUCAACGGGACUUCACCAUGCUCAACGGGACUUCACCAUGCUCAACGGGACUUCACCAUGCUCAACGGGACUUCACCAUGCUCAACGGGACUUCACCAUGCUCAACGGGACUUCACCAUGCUCAACGGGACUUCACCAUGCUCAACGGGACUUCACCAUGCUCAACGGGACUUCACCAUGCUCAACGGGACUUCACCAUGCUCAACGGGACUUCACCAUGCUCAACGGGACUUCACCAUGCUCAACGGGAUAUCUUUUGAAUUCCCUGCUCACACAGCCCUUGUGUGAUGUCAUCCACGAGGCCAUGCAACGUCACAUGCAGGGUAUCGACUUCAGAGAGCGCAACGCAGGACCAAAGAUCGACAUGCACAUGAAGGACGAGGGCUUCAAUGUUGUGGCCAAAGUGCACCGUGAUACUGGCUUUGUUUACGGUGGCAACCGCUUCAACUGCGGAACAUGGAUGGACAAAAUGGGAGAGAGUGACAAAGCUCGCAACAAGGGCAUGCCUGCAACACCCAGAGAUGGGUCAGCGGUGGAGAUUGUGGGCCUCAGUAAGUCUGCGGUGCGCUGGCUGGUGGAGCUCCAUAAGAAGGGCCUGUUCCCCCACAGCUCCAUGAAAAUACACCGGGAUGGUAAGGAGGUGAAGGUUUCCUAUGAGGAGUGGAACCAUAAGAUCUUGGCCAACUUUGAGAGGAACUUCUAUGUGUCCCACGACGAGAAGGACCCCAACGAGAAGCACCCCGACCUGGUCCACAAGAGAGGCAUCUACAAGGACAGCCACGGAGCCUCCAGCCCCUGGUGUGACUACCAGCUCAGGCCCAACUUUUGCAUUGCCAUGGUGGUGGCUCCGGAGUUGUUCACUGUGGAGAGAGCCUGGAAGGCCCUGGGAAUUGCUGAGAAGAAGCUGCUAGGACCUCUGGGAAUGAAGACGUUGGACCCAGAUGAUAUGGUGUACUGUGGUGUCUAUGACAACGCCCUGGACAACGAUAACUACAACGUGGCCAGAGGUUUCAACUACCACCAAGGACCGGAGUGGCUAUGGCCAAUUGGGUACUUCCUGCGAGCAAAGCUCUAUUUUGCCAAGAAGCUUGGGAAGGAGACCUAUGAACAGACAGUGUACCUGGUGAAGAGCAUUCUCUCUCAGCAUUAUGUCCACCUGGAGAGGUCUAGCUGGAAGGGUCUGCCAGAGCUGACCAAUGAGAAUGGCCAGUACUGUCCCUUCAGCUGCGAAUCACAGGCCUGGUCCAUCUCCACGGUGCUGGAAGUCCUCCACGACAUCUAGCACCUUACUUCCUGUGGGCGGAGACUCGCCCCAUGAUCUAAUGUCCUCCUGUAGUCCGGCACUGUUUUAAUUCACCUUCAUAGUGUGGUGUUUGUUGUCUUGUUUUGGACCACGUGUACACCCUAUGCAUUAAACCUACUGGGCUCGCAAUUAUACAGUAAUGCCUUGUGAACACCAGCAAUUCUAGUGGUUGUGGACGGCAUUGGGAAAUUUUAGCUCACGGCCUCAUUUGACGGCUGACUUAGUGUUGUCAAGGUAUGAUCCCUGUGUUACAGUAGAUAUAUGAGCUAAUGUUAAAGCACUUAAAGAUAAAGUAUUAAAGAUAAAGUAUUUGGGUUUGGAAGACCGACUGUUUUAAACCAGCUAACCUCAUAGGCAGUUGAACUUUAACUGUGUGUCGCCUGCACUGCUACCCGGUCCAUGGAGAUCCUUUUAAAGAUGGUAUCAAAAUGUACUGUACUAUGAAAUUAGUCAAGUGACAACCCAUUGCUGUGUGCUUCCAUGCCUUUUUAUUAGAGUUUAGAUCCCUAAAAAUAAACCUCUGUGGAAAGCAUCACUGUGACAGAAGAA